ACGCUAGCUACAGGCUUAACACAUGCAAGUCGAGGGGAAACGACAUCGAAAGCUUGCUUUUGAUGGGCGUCGACCGGCGCACGGGUGAGUAACGCGUAUCCAACCUGCCCACCACUUGGGGAUAACCUUGCGAAAGUAAGACUAAUACCCAAUGAUAUCUCUAGAAGACAUCUGAAAGAGAUUAAAGAUUUAUCGGUGAUGGAUGGGGAUGCGUCUGAUUAGCUUGUUGGCGGGGUAACGGCCCACCAAGGCUACGAUCAGUAGGGGUUCUGAGAGGAAGGUCCCCCACAUUGGAACUGAGACACGGUCCAAACUCCUACGGGAGGCAGCAGUGAGGAAUAUUGGUCAAUGGACGAGAGUCUGAACCAGCCAAGUAGCGUGCAGGAUGACGGCCCUAUGGGUUGUAAACUGCUUUUAUAAGGGAAUAAAGUGAGUCUCGUGAGACUUUUUGCAUGUACCUUAUGAAUAAGGACCGGCUAAUUCCGUGCCAGCAGCCGCGGUAAUACGGAAGGUCCGGGCGUUAUCCGGAUUUAUUGGGUUUAAAGGGAGCGUAGGCCGGAGAUUAAGCGUGUUGUGAAAUGUAGACGCUCAACGUCUGCACUGCAGCGCGAACUGGUUUCCUUGAGUACGCACAAAGUGGGCGGAAUUCGUGGUGUAGCGGUGAAAUGCUUAGAUAUCACGAAGAACUCCGAUUGCGAAGGCAGCUCACUGGAGCGCAACUGACGCUGAAGCUCGAAAGUGCGGGUAUCGAACAGGAUUAGAUACCCUGGUAGUCCGCACGGUAAACGAUGGAUGCCCGCUGUUGGUCUGAAUAGGUCAGCGGCCAAGCGAAAGCAUUAAGCAUCCCACCUGGGGAGUACGCCGGCAACGGUGAAACUCA
rnacentral:rRNA from 1 species